rnacentral:rRNA from 1 species
GAUUCCUACGGGACGCAGCAGUGAGGAAUAUUGGUCAAUGGGCGCGAGCCUGAACCAGCCAAGUCGCGUGAGGGAGGACGGCCCUACGGGUUGUAAACCUCUUUUGCCGGGGAGCAACGGGCGUCACGUGUGGCGCCACUGAGAGUACCCGGAGAAAAAGCAUCGGCUAACUCCGCGCCAGCAGCCGCGGUAAUACGUAGGUGGCAAGCGUUGUCCGGAUUUACUGGGUGUAAAGGGCGUGUAGCCGGGCUGACAAGUCAGAUGUGAAAUCCGGGGGCUCAACCCCCGAACUGCAUUUGAAAAUG